rnacentral:rRNA from 1 species
GAUGAACGCUGGCGGCGUGCCUAAUACAUGCAAGUCGAGCGAACAGACGAGGAGCUUGCUCCUCUGACGUUAGCGGCGGACGGGUGAGUAACACGUGGAUAACCUACCUAUAAGACUGGGAUAACUUCGGGAAACCGGAGCUAAUACCGGAUAAUAUAUUGAACCGCAUGGUUCAAUAGUGAAAGACGGUUUUGCUGUCACUUAUAGAUGGAUCCGCGCCGCAUUAGCUAGUUGGUAAGGUAACGGCUUACGAAGGCAACGAUGCGUAGCCGACCUGAGAGGGUGAUCGGCCACACUGGAACUGAGACACGGUCCAGACUCCUACGGGAGGCAGCAGUAGGGAAUCUUCCGCAAUGGGCGAAAGCUUGACGGAGCAACGCCGCGUGAGUGAUGAAGGUCUUCGGAUCGUAAAACUCUGUUAUUAGGGAAGAACAAAUGUGUAAGUAACUAUGCACGUCUUGACGGUACCUAAUCAGAAAGCCACGGCUAACUACGUG